GACCUGGUAGCAUAAUGCUCGUGUAUCUGCAUACAGUUGUGGGCAUCUCACCUGAGUCUUUGCAGAAGAUCCCCGUUCGACUCGGGGUCAGGUCA